CCUACGGGGGGCUGCAGUGGGGAAUUUUGGACAAUGGGCGCAAGCCUGAUCCAGCCAUUCCGCGUGAGUGAAGAAGGCCUUCGGGUUGUAAAGCUCUUUCGCAAGGGAAGAAAACUUAUCCUCUACCAUAGGAUGAGGUUGACGGUACCUUGAUAAGAAGCACCGGCUAACUACGUGCCAGCAGCCGCGGUACUACGUAGGGUGCGAGCGUUAAUCGGAGCUACUGGGCGUAAAGUUGUAAGUCGGUGGUGAAAUCCCCGAGCUCAACUUUGGAAAUGCGUUUGAAACUACAAGACUAGAAUAGGUCAGAGGGGGGGAGAAUUCCACGUGUAGCAGUGAAAUGCGUAGAGAUGUGGAGGAAUAUCAAUGGCGAAGGCAGCCCCCUGGGAUCAUAUUGACGCUCAUGCACGAAAGCGUGGGGAGCAAACCGGAUUAGAUACCCCAGUAGUC
rnacentral:rRNA from 1 species